rnacentral:rRNA from 1 species
UAGGGAAUAUUGCAAAAUGGGCGAAAGCCCGAUGCAGCAACGCCGCGUGGGCGAUGAAGGCCUUCGGGUCGUAAAGCCCUUUUUGAGGGGAUGAGGAAGGACAGUACCCUCAGAAGAAGCCUCGGCUAACUACGUGCCAGCAGCCGCGGUAAAACGUAGGAGGCGAGCGUUGUCCGGAUUUACUGGGUGUAAAGGGCGCGCAGGCGGGAUAAAAAGUCAGUGGUGAAAUCCUACAGCUUAACUGUAGAACUGCCUUUGAUACUUUUAUUCUUGAGUUCGGGAGAGAGAGACGGAAUUCCAGGUGUAGUGGUGAAAUACGUAGAUAUCUGGAAGAACACCAGUUGCGAAGGCGGUCUCUUGGUCCGACACUGACGCUGAGGCGCGAAAGCGUGGGGAGCAAACA